rnacentral:tRNA from 1 species
GGUUCCGUGGUGUAGCGGUUAACAUGCCUACCUGUCACGCAGGAGAUCGCGGGUUCGAUUCCCGUCGGGACCGCCA